rnacentral:rRNA from 1 species
CACAAGCAGCGGAGCGUGUGGUUUAAUUCGAUGCUACACGAAGAACCUUAACCAGGGUUUGACGAUACAAGUAGUAGGGAAGGAAACUGGACCGACCCUUCGGGGAGCUUGAACAGGUGCUGCAUGGCUGUCGUCAGCUCGUGUCGUGAGAUGUUCGGUUAAGUCCGCUAACGAGCGCAACCCUCGCUGUGUGUUACAAGUGUCACACGGAACUGCCGGUCGAUAAACCGGAGGAAGGUGGGGAUGACGUCAAGUCAGCAUGGCCUUUAUAUCCUGGGCUACACACACGCUACAAUGGGAAGGGACAAUAGGUUGCGAAACCGCGAGGUGGAGCCAAUCCAGCAAAACUUCCCUCAGUUCAGAUUGCAGGCUGCAACUCGCCUGCAUGAAGUUGGAGUUGCUAGUAAACGCAGGUCAGCCAUACUGCGUUGAAUACGUUCCCGGGGCUU